rnacentral:rRNA from 1 species
UGGGGAAUAUUGGACAAUGGGGGCAACCCUGAUCCAGCCAUGCCGCGUGAGUGAUGAAGGCCUUCGGGUUGUAAAGCUCUCUUGGCGGGGACGAUGAUGACGGUACCCGCAGAAUAAGCCCCGGCUAACUUCGUGCCAGCAGCCGCGGUAAGACGAAGGGGGCAAGCGUUGUUCGGAAUUACUGGGCGUAAAGGGCGCGUAGGCGGUUUGCUUAGUCAGGCGUGAAAGCCCUGGGCUUAACCUGGGAUGUGCGCUUGAUACUGGCAGGCUUGAGUGUGGGAGAGGUUGGUGGAAUUCCCAGUGUAGAGGUGAAAUUCGUAGAUAUUGGGAAGAACACCGGUGGCGAAGGCGGCCAACUGGACCACAACUGACGCUGAGGCGCGAAAGCGUGGGGAGCAAACA